CCGACGAAUGUGGUCUCCGCGACCGAUAUCGGCGGUAAUAAUGUGCGUAGAGAGCUCCUGCUGGGAACAUGCCAUCUUACGGGACAGCCAAAGAAAUGAACUUACUACGGGUGGAGGGCUUGCGCACCCUUCGGUCAUGGCAUGCUCGUGAUACAUGAAACUGUGUAGCAGAGUGUUGUUCGGGUGGAGGCCGGCUGCUGAAGCUUCCGCCGCGCCUCCCAGUCCUCCCAACCCUCCCAACCCUGCCAGGCUUCCCCCGCCACCCUCCGAAAGCUGGAACGUAGCGUACGGCGAGAUGUCCUCCGCUGUCUCUGUAACCCACCAGAGGCAUUGCCUACCUUUCAAAUCGCGUUGGGAUGAAUUUUUUAUUUACAGAGGGUGGUCGAUGAAGGCAGAAGCAAUGCAUGAUGAAGUGACGAAUGAAAUAUGCAGUGGAACGCGAGUGAAACAUUCAAGAUCGGUCGCAUAAAGGGUAAAAAGAAAAAAGACGAUGAUCUACGGUGAUGGAAGGAAGAUGUAAAAUAAUCCACCUUUGCUUUGUGAACAGCAAUCGAACGCUAACGGGUCUGCCCACUUUGGUUGAACAGCGCUACGCGUGCGAUUUUCUUUUACCUGAACAACAAUUAUAGUACCAAACCUGGCUGUCGUCCGUAUCGUAACAAAGGUUCACCUGGAAUCUUGUCGGGCCCUCCACCCGUAUUCGCCGCUUGUUGUAAAGCCACCUUGUGAAUCGUCGCGUAGUAACGUUCUCUUUGGGUUUCGGCAUUCUGUUGAUUCUCUUGGGUCUCUUUCAUGGGACGCUGCAUUCUGUCUCCGAGAUAUCCUUAUAUAUAAAUAGAAAUAAAAUAUGUAUGUACUUUGUAUGAAUAAAUAUUUACAAUAUAUCUAUCGCUGAUCAAAAUUGUUUCAUGAUCCAUUGAUUGUGAGUUUCACCAAGUGGAACAUCAACAUCUCAUGAGUUAUAUGCAAGAUGAAACAUUAUUGUAAAAUAUAGAUAAUUAAAUAUCACCGUAAUUUAUUUUA